rnacentral:lncRNA from 1 species
GGCUCAGCGUGCCCAACACUGGGAGUCAGAAACGCGAGGGCCCAGCCACGGAAGGCUGCGCCCACAUGUCUAAGAAUUUUACUCCAUAAAGACUGGAGAGAAAGCCCCUCGUGGAAAGAAGAGCAGUCAAGAGCAUUCUGUUUUUCAGAGGACCGCCCUCAAGAGAAACCAUUCAACCAGCACCCAGACUAGUGGGCUUUAUCAGAGCCUGACCAACCUGGAGGAAGGGAAACAGCCAACUCCAGCCCUCUUCAGCGUUCCACAGAGCAAAAGGAGAAUAACUAACAGUAGCUCCUUCCACCAUUCUGUUGCUCCGGAAGGGAGGGGAGCGCUGAGAAGCAUGUGUGCAGGCUUGCUGGAGUUCCUUCAAGAACUUUGCUUCCAGCUCGCAAGAAAAAAAUUACAAGCCAUACUGAAAAGUCAAAACCACAGUUUGAAGAGAUGGAGCAAGAAUCCAAACCAGAGUCCAAUAUGGCAGAUGGUGGAAUCACCUGGACAGCAAUUAACCCUCCUAUCUCCUUAAGACUGACACAGCAGGCAAGAUGGUUUCAAAACAAAGCAGAGGAACUACUUGUCCUACCAACAUCAAGACAUGUUCAAAAUAUAGAAACUAAGGUAGUAUGGAAUUGGUAUUGGGGUACGAAAAGAAUAAAACGUCCAGAAGUGUAACAAAUGUGGCCUUAUGUAUCACUAAUAAAUAUAAAUGGUGCUUGGACAACUGACUAUCAUGGCA